rnacentral:rRNA from 1 species
UGGGGAAUAUUGCACAAUGGGCGCAAGCCUGAUGCAGCCAUGCCGCGUGUGUGAAGAAGGCCUUCGGGUUGUAAAGUACUUUCAGCGGGGAGGAAGGGAGUAAAGUUAAUACCUUUGCUCAUUGACGUUACCCGCAGAAGAAGCACCGGCUAACUCCGUGCCAGCAGCCGCGGUAAUACGGAGGGUGCAAGCGUUAAUCGGAAUUACUGGGCGUAAAGCGCACGCAGGCGGUUUGCUAAGUCAGAUGUGAAAUCCCCGGGCUCAACCUGGGAACUGCAUCUGAUACUGGCAAGCUUGAGUCUCGUAGAGGGGGGUAGAAUUCCAGGUGGAGCGGUGAAAUGCGUAGAGAUCUGGAGGAAUACCGGUGGCGAAGGCGGCCCCCUGGACAAAGACUGACGCUCAGGUGCGAAAGCGUGGGGAGCAAACAGG